rnacentral:rRNA from 1 species
ACUUCCGUAUCCCUAGUACGGCGAGUGAACCGGGAAGAGCUCAAAUUUGAAAUCUGGCGUGCUCAGUGCGUCCGAGUUGUAAUCUAUAGAGUCGUUUUCCGUGCCGGACUGUGUCCAAGUCCCUUGGAACAGGGUAUCAAAGAGGGUGAUAAUCCCGUACUUGACACAAUGACCGGUGCUCUGUGAUACGUCUUCUACGAGUCGAGUUGUUUGGGAAUGCAGCUCAAAAUGGGUGGUGAGUUCCAUCUAAAGCUAAAUAUUGGCGAAAGACCGAUAGCGAACAAGUACCGUGAGGGAAAGAUGAAAAGCACUUUGGAAAGAGAGUUAAACAGUACGUGAAAUUGUUAAAAGGGAAACGAUUGAAGUCAGUCGUGACUGAGAGGCUCAGCCGGUUCUGCCGGUGUAUUCCCCUCAGUCGGGUCAACAUCAGUUUUGUUCGGUGGAUAAGGGCAGUUGGAAGGUGGCACCCUCGGGUGUGUUAUAGCCAGCUGUCGCAUACAUCGGAUGAGACUGAGGAAUGCAGCUCGCCUUUAUGGCCGGGGUUCGCCCACGUUCGAGCUUAGGAUGUUGACAUAAUGGCUUUAAACGACCCGUCUGAACCCAGGACAACA